GAUGAAGAACGUAGCGAAAUGCGAUACGUAAUGUGAAUUGCAGAAUUCAGUGAAUCAUCGAGUCUUUGAACGCACAUUGCGCCCCCUGGUAUUCCGGGGGGCAUGCCUGUCCGAGCGUCAUUGCUGCCCUCAAGCCCGGCUUGUGUGUUGGGUCUCGUCCCCCUUCCCGGGGGGACGGGCCCGAAAGGCAGCGGCGGCACCGUGUCCGGUCCUCGAGCGUAUGGGGCUUUGUCACCCGCUCUGUAGGCCCGGCCGGCGCUUGCCGAUCAACCAAAACUUUUUUCCAGGUUGACCUCGGAUCAGGUAGGGAUACCCGCUGAACUUAAGCAUAUCAAUAACGGAGGA
rnacentral:misc_RNA from 1 species